rnacentral:rRNA from 1 species
ACUCAAAGGAAUUGACGGGGACCCGCACAAGCGGUGGAGCAUGUGGAUUAAUUCGAUACUAACCGAAGAACCUUACCCAGACUUGACAUCGAUCGUAAGCCUCAGAAAUGGGGCCCUCCCCCACAAGGGGACGUGAAGACACUUGUUGCAUGGCUGUCGUCAGCUCGUGCCGUGAGGUGUACGGUUAAGUCCGCCAACGAGCGCAACCCUCGUCCUGUGUUACCAGCAUGAAAGAUGGGGACUCACAGGAGACCGCCGGUGUAAAUCGGAGGAAGGUGGGGAUGACGUCAAGUCAGCAUGGCAGUUACGUCUGGGGCUUCACACAUGCUACAAUGGGCGCAACAGAGGGCAGCAAUACCGCGAGGUGGAGCAAAUCCCAAAAAUACGCCCCCAGUUCAGAUUGCAGUCUGCAACUCGACUGCAUGAAGGCGGAAUCGCUAGUAAACGCAGGUCAGCUAUACUGCGUUGAAUACGUUCCCGGGUCUUGUACACACCGCCCGU